rnacentral:tRNA from 1 species
CCUUCGAUAGCUCAGUUGGUAGAGCGGUGGACUGUAGAAAGCAUCAAGCGCGCCCGAGCGCGUCAGCCGGAAUAAGUAAUCCAUAGGUCACUGGUUCAAAUCCGGUUCGAAGGA